CGCGGUUAUACGAGAGGUCCGAAUUGACAAACAAACGGCGUAAAGCGUGGUUAUGAGACAUCACUAAACUAAAGCCAAAUGCCCACAAAGCUGUAUUACGCACUCGAGGGCCUGAGACUCAACAACGAAAGUGGCUUUACAAACCUGAACCCACGAAAGCCAUGAAA
rnacentral:rRNA from 1 species